UACGUAGGGUGCGAGCGUUGUCCGGAAUUAUUGGGCGUAAAGAGCUCGUAGGCGGUCUGUCGCGUCUGCUGUGAAAACUCAGGGCUUAACCCUGAACUUGCAGUGGGUACGGGCAGACUAGAGUGCGGUAGGGGAGACUGGAAUUCCUGGUGUAGCGGUGAAAUGCGCAGAUAUCAGGAGGAACACCGGUGGCGAAGGCGGGUCUCUGGGCCGUAACUGACGCUGGAGGCGACGAAAGCGUUGGGGAGCAAACA
rnacentral:rRNA from 1 species